CUGCCUUGAAGCUACCGACCUUGAAAACUUCCCGGAAGGCCAAGGAGAGAGACCACUGCUUCCAAUGUUUGGCUAUUGUGGACAUAGUGCUGUGAGCAUUUAUGUGCAGGUGCUCCUUCGGAUCACUACAUCUGUAUCUUUGGGAUAAAUACCUGGCAGUGCAAUUGCUGAAUCAUGAGGAACAUAGAAAGCUACAGAGUCUACCAGAUGGGACUCGCUUUAAUGGUCUGUUGGAGAAUGGGCGGCAGUCCUUUCCCUCCAGGAUCUGAACAAUCUGCUGUGCUCGGCGGCCUGCAUUUUGACAGCUAAGGAAGUGAGAGGCCAAGAUCUGAAUUACAUAUCGAGUGAAAAUCGCAUACCUGGCAAGAUGGCACUGAAAGUGCCUGCUGAGCUAUUUGAGUCAGCUGUCGGAAAACAGUGAUGUUGUUGGAAACAUGAGUGCCUGACUUUUAAUCGUAGCUAUCUGUACUGCUUUCAGCAAAAAUAAAGACUGCACUAGUAUCUCUCCCUUGG